rnacentral:lncRNA from 1 species
UUUGAUUUGUGUGCUAAGAAAAAUAACUAGUCAAUUAUGACGAGAAAGCUAUCACGGGCACUUAUGAGUAGGAAUCAAGAAAUGAUUUUCAUGCUUUCAACCCUGGAAUGAUACUUUAGGUGGAGUGUGACACUAAUAGGAUCAUAAUAGCCGUAAACAAGGAAGGGGCUACUUGUACUUUAUAGUUCUGAUCAUACUCGUAACUAUAAACAUAUAUCAACAAUUCACUCACUUGGUGACCAAGGGAUGGUAUCUCCAAAAGAAUUGUCUUUACAGCUUGAGUAUCCA